AUGGACCAGGCCUCCACUCCGCUUGUGAAUGCGCUGUCCACACCCAGCUGACGACGGCUCGCCACGUUCUGUUCGCC
rnacentral:sRNA from 3 species